CAGAACAUUAACAAAGGUUCUGAAAGUAAAGAUUGAGCUGCUUGGGUCCUUAUGGCAGACAGAUCAGAAAGAGGAAGAGCUUUGAAUCACAGCUAACUGCGUCACAUCGUUUAUGUGAAAUUCUAGUGAAACUAAAGUAAUGGCGCGUUCACACCAAAAGCGAAGGGGCGGCGCAACUUCCAUACAAAGUCAACGUAUAGACGCGUUCCAGGCAACGGGCGCGUUCGACUCCAUACAAAGUCAACGUAUCGUAUAGUAAUGCUGUAGCCUACUUUAUAUCGUCUGUGGGGAAAUCCUGGGACUCUCAGAGUAUCAAACUACAACUGGAAAAAAAGAAAAGCUUAGGAAACACUUUUAUUUUUUGAAAACUUCUGAGUUAAGGGACAUAAAAGACAACAACCCCAAAAACACGCUGUCGGAAACACCUCGGAUCAAACCACAGGACAAACCCGGAAGAGGGAAGACAUGCAGUAAAGGACCACCUGUCUGAAUCAGGCAGCCUCCGGCUGUAUGUGACCUCAUCAGCCCAGAGUGAAGGGACGUACAGGUGUACUCUCAGGUACGCAGACGAAGAAGACGUAACCCACAUUGAACCGAAGAUAUUGGAAGACCCUAUUGAAGAGGGAUCUUCUAGCACAGUUGGGAUCAUUUUAGGAGUCGUGGAUCCCGUUAUCAUUUUAAUCAUCGCCAUCAACAGUUUAUAUAUCAUAUAACCGAUAAAGGCCAAAGAAGGACGAGGAAGGAGCUCAAACAACCAAAGUACUGAACCCAGAGGAACGACCAGGAAGUCGUUCCUCUGUGAGAUAACGGGUUCAACCUCCUGACCUUAUUACCGUACCAUCAGACACAGCAGGGUAAGACUGUGGUCUCAGGAGCCAGGAUCCUUGUUUACGUUGUAAUUUAGGGGUGAAACAGUAGAAUGGGGGGGGGGGGGGUUCUUUGUAGGAGGGACUGACCAGCUUCAGGAGUGAGGCCGAGGUGUGUAAAAGGUGAGUAGGUGUGGUCUGUAGGGGCUGAUUCUGACCUCUGAGUCCUCUGCUGGGAUUAGAGUCUGCCGCUAUGUUGCCCGGUGUCUUCAUCUGAGAUGGACUGGGAGGAUAUUUUUAUUCUGCAACAGAAAAAGACUUUGAAAAGGUCAAACAGACAAUGUGAUGGGUACAACCGAGGCAUCUUCAGCACCACAACAACAACAACAACAUGGACGACCUUGGUGACCCACCACAGAGCACACGUCCAAGAGCAAAGAAACAUGAGUCUGGAUUAAUGGGAAUGAAACGUUUGACUAAAUACACGAUUUGUUUGGUCACUUGAAAAGCGUUGACAUUUGUCAUCCUUAUGAUCCCACUAUUUUCUUUUACUUUGACAUUUAUUAGAAGUCGUGAAACCAAAAUUAAUCUUUAAGGCAAUGAAUGGAUGAGUUGUAACAUGCGUCCCUUAUCUUACUGUACCGUCAGUGGAAUUGUCUUCUACACAGAUUUAAAGGAAAACCAUCUCCAACGGAUUACACCAAUUGUUAUGUAUUAAUAUUGAUCAUUUUAUUUGUAUUAGGCCUAUAAAGUUGUAAUCAGCCA